CAAUGGGCCCAAGCCUGACCCAGCAACGCCGCGUGAAGGAAGAAGGCUUUCGGGUUGUAAACUUCUUUUGUCAGGGAACAGUAGAUGAGGGUACCUGACGAAUAAGCUCCGGCUAACUACGUGCCAGCAGCCGCGGUAAUACGUAGGGAGCGAGCGUUGUCCGGAUUUACUGGGUGUAAAGGGCGUGUAGGCGGGAUUACAAGUCAGAUGUGAAAUUCCGGGGCUCAACCCCGGAACUGCAUUUGAAACUGUAGUUCUUGAGUACUGGAGAGGCAGGCGGAAUUCCUAGUGUAGCGGUGAAAUGCGUAGAUAUUAGGAGGAACACCAGUGGCGAAGGCGGCCUGCUGGACAGCAACUGACGCUGAGGCGCGAAAGCGUGGGGAGCAAACAGGAUUAGAUACCCUGGUAGUCCACGCUGUAAACGAUGGAUACUAGGUGUGCGGGGACUGACCCCCUGCGUGCCGCAGUUAACACAAUAAGUAUCCCACCUGGGGAGUACGAUCGCAAGGUUGAAACUCAAAGGAAUUGACGGGGGCCCGCACAAGCGGUGGAUUAUGUGGUUUAAUUCGAAGCAACGCGAAGAACCUUACCAGGGCUUGACAUCCUACUAACGAGGUAGAGAUACGUUAGGUGCCCUUCGGGGAAAGUAGAGACAGGUGGUGCAUGGUUGUCGUCAGCUCGUGUCGUGAGAUG
rnacentral:rRNA from 1 species